UGAGCACGUGUGCCUUGCUGUGUCUCUGGAGACACCGUGGGCAAUGCCUUAACUAGCUUCCUUCCUCUAGCAGUCAUUUCUGUUCUGCUUUUUCCUGUUAUGUGGACUAUGGCAGUCUCAGGAGAAACAGGAUUACUGAGAAAGCAAUACAAAGUCAGCAACUUUUAAACUCAGAUGUGAAAGCAUCAGCUAUUUCUGUUGUAUAUUUUAUGAAACCUUCAAACUUAUUAUGCUUGUAUGUACGGCACACUGCUGAAGAUUGUAUGAAGACUCUUUGUCCUUGGAAAAGAAUGGGACCAGCAUCUAUGCAACUCAAAUCUAUCAACAGAAUUUUCAGGUCAUAACUUGUAAAAACAACAACAACAAAAACUAGUCAAUUAAAUGUAAUAGCAUUUUUUGUCGGGUAAAUUACAGUAAGAAAUUGGUUGCUUGGGAAUUAUUCCUCUAGAAAAGCUAAUUUCUUUGUAUGCAUAAUUUUAAAUACUUAAAAGUAAUUAGGAAAUGUACUUCAUAAGCAAUUUUAAAACUUAAAAAAAAAAACACAAUUAUUGCUUUAAAACAUUUUUGCAAAUAUGCACAUUCUUCUGUUAACUGCUCAAGGAAAAUCUAGCUUGCCAAACCUGUGGCUUUUGAACAAAGUAUCCACAUUAAUUAAAUCUAGUUUGGCAUUAGGGGGGUUAUCGAGUGUUAUAAAGUGAGUGGAAAGUGAAUCUUGAAUUAUCACCAUCUACAGUUUAUUCUUUCAGUUUUUAAUGA
rnacentral:lncRNA from 1 species